rnacentral:rRNA from 1 species
GACGAACGCUGGCGGCGUGCCUAAUACAUGCAAGUCGAGCGAAGUUUUUCUGGUGCUUGCACCGGAAAAACUUAGCGGCGAACGGGUGAGUAACACGUAAAGAACCUGCCUUAUAGACUGGGACAACUAUUGGAAACGAUAGCUAAUACCGGAUAACAGCAUUAACUGCAUGGUUGAUGUUUGAAAGUUGGUUUUGCUAACACUAUGAGAUGGCUUUGCGGUGCAUUAGCUAGUUGGUGGGGUAAAGGCCUACCAAGGCGACGAUGCAUAGCCGACCUGAGAGGGGGAUCGGCCACACUGGGACUGAGACACGGCCCAGACUCCUACGGGAGGCAGCAGUAGGGAAUCUUCCGCAAUGGGCGAAAGCCUGACGGAGCAACGCCGCGUGAGUGAAGAAGGAUUUCGGUUCGUAAAGCUCUGUUGUUAGGGAAGAAGGAUUGUGUAGUAACUAUACACAGUAGAGACGGUACCUAACCAGAAAGCCACGGCUAACUACGUG